rnacentral:tRNA from 1 species
GCCCGAGUGGUUUAGUAGGUUAAGCGUCUGACUCUUGAUUUCAGCUCAGGUCAUAAUCUCGUGGUUUGUGGGUUCGAGCCCCAUGUCGGGCU